rnacentral:rRNA from 1 species
AGUAACGGCGAGUGAACGGAGAUUAGCCCAGCACCGAAGCCCAUUCGCGUUUGUGAAUAGGGCAAUGUGGUGUUAAGGCAUGCAUAUUUAAUUGAUUGUCUGCUCGAAGUCCAGCUCCGAUUAUGGCUAGACAUCUGUUCCAAAGAGGGUGAAAGGCCCGUUCGAGUAGAUUAUUGGUUAUCUCUGUGUAUGUCCUUGAGUCGGUUUGCUUGAGAAUGCAAACCAAAUUGGGUGGUAAACUCCAUCUAAGGCUAAAUACUGGCACGAGUCCGAUAGUAAACAAGUACCGUGAGGGAAAGUUGAAAAGUACUCUGAAGAGAGAGUAAAUAGUACGUGAAACCGACUGAAUGGAAGCUGGUGGAGUCAAACUCUUGCAAUGUGAAUUGGUGCGGAGUAUUUGCAAGGAUAUUCAACUUUGUUGUAUUUAAAUUGCUUGAUGGUUUGCCAUCAUGAGUAUCCCGGUGCGGGUGCUCAUCUAUGUUGUUAUAUCCUUACUCUUGUGCUAUUUCAUUAAGCAUAUGCCAAGGUCAGUAUACUCAUGAUCAAUGAUAGUCUAAUCGUGAAUUGGGAUGCAUUGUGCAUUCUGUUUACGUGACGGCAGGUAGCAGUUUUGGUAGCUUGCUAUUAAAACUUUGUAUAGUGGUUAAGACUUGCUGACUAUCCUUUUGUUAAUUUAUUGAGUAUAUUGUUUAUAUUAAAUUUUGAAUCAGCAUGGUUCUCUUUUAUAUAACUUUGGCUAGUAGCAGAUUUCCACCCGACCCGUCUUGAAACACGGACCAAGGAGUUUAACAUGUACACGAGUCGUCUGGUUAUUAAACCAAGGUGGCGUAAUGAAAGUGAACGAUUGCUUUUCGUGAUCUGAGGUGUUAUCCCCUGUGUGUCUUGAACUAGGCCAUAGGCUGCAGCACCGGCCCGUCUCGUAAUGUAGUAAUUCCAGCUACGGUUGGUUUGCGUCAUUGAGGCGGAGCAAGAGUGUACAUGUUGAGACCCGAAAGAUGGUGAACUAUGCUUGCGUAGGUUGAAGCCAGAGGAAACUCUGGUGGAGGACCGUCGCGGUUUUGACGUGCAAAUCGAUCGUCAAACGUGAGCAUAGGGGCGAAAGACUAAUCGAACCAUCUAGUAGCUGGUUCCCUCCGAAGUUUCCCUCAGGAUAGCUGGCACUCGUUAGACAGUUUUAUCCGGUAAAGCGAAUGAUUAGAGGUAUUGGGGACUACAUGUCCUCAACCUAUUCUCAAACUAUAAAUGGGUACGAUGCAAGACUCGCUUAGUUGGAGUUUUGCAUUGAAUGCGAGUGCCAAGUGGGCCAUUUUUGGUAAGCAGAACUGGCGCUGUGGGAUGCUCCGAACGUCAAGAUAAGGUGCCAAAUAUUGACGCUCAUGAGACACCACAAAAGGUGUUAAUGCAUAUAGACAGCAGGAACGGUGGCCAUGAAAGUCGGAAUCCGCUAAGGAGUGU